rnacentral:rRNA from 1 species
UACGUAGGGUGCAAGCGUUGUCCGGAAUUAUUGGGCGUAAAGAGCGUGUAGGCGGCCCGAUUAGUCCGCUGUGAAAGUCCAGGGCUCAACCCUGGAAUGCCGGUGGAUACUGUCGGGCUAGAGUCCGGAAGGGGCGAGUGGAAUUCCUGGUGUAGCGGUGAAAUGCGCAGAUAUCUGGAGGAACACCGGUGGCGAAGGCGGCAUCCUGGACCAACACUGACGCUGAGGAGCGAAAGCCAGGGGAGCAAACGGG